UUUGAAUUAAUUCACUCAAAAGCACAAGUUAAAUUAACAUAACAUUUUAGAAUCAUAAUUAACAUCUUUAAUUAACCUUUGUUUAUUUUCAUCAAAAUUUUAAUUUGAGAGUUUGUUUCAACAAUAAUAACAAACACUCUAAAAACCGAAGGGAAUACGACAUAGCAACCACUCUAAAAACCGAAGGGACUAUGAGAUAUCAAACACUCUAAAAACCGAAGGGACUACGGCAUAACAACCGCUCUAAAAAUCGAAGGAACAACGAUACAAAACCGCUCAUAAAUAUUGAAGGGAUAUAAAGAAAGGAUAGAAGUGGCUCGAAAAUUAGGCGGACAGAAUAUAAAAGGGAGAAAAGAGAAAGUUGAGAAAUGCAUCCAACUUUGGUGUGUUUUUCCCACUAGUUUAAAACUCAUUAUAUAUUGAUGGAAGCAAACUGACAUAUGUUUUCUAACCAAUGUGGGACUUUAAUAUUUACAAAGUUGAAAACUACUCAAAAUAUGAGAGUUUUCCAAUGUGGGAUUUCAAAAAAAAAGUUAUUUCCAAUGUGGGACUUGAAUUUUGAAAAACAUGUUUCUUUCCAUUUAAAUUUACAAAAAAUAUUUCUUUCCAACGUGGGGCUUCAACAAAUUUUAAAUGCACACAAUAACAUACUUAUGUUCCAACAAUCCUCCACUUGAAUUUAUAAAAAUGUUUCUGAAAUAGCAUCAAAUGUUUCUAUAAGAUCGUGCAUAAACAACGGUGUCUCUUGACUUGAACCUUUGCAUAGUGAGUAAGAUUCAGAUUCAACAAGAGUGACUCAUAGUAUUGAACUCUAUAUCUGACAUCAAAUCCACACACUACAUCUUCAUAAGGUGUAUUCUCAAAAGCACGUGCAUUAAUGGCCCUGCACAUGUAUCCCAAAAUAGUGAACGCUCUAGGAAUUAUGUCUCGAAAUUCCAUAGGAAGCGGUCCCACUUCCACAUUCACAUAGGUGAGUUUAUCAAGAGUAAUCAUGUAGCUAGGUACUCCACUCCACAUAGAGUAUAUAUCUCAUUAAGAGUUUCGAUUAUCUCAUCCUAUCAUUGCUUUAGGAAUCAUGCUUCUCUGAUUUAUAAUAGCAUGUUCAUCUUAUAUCACUUCACGACUCUUUAUUACCCAUUGAACCUAAUUCUUGAGAUCUCUAGUCUUUUAGGUCGGGUUACCAUCAUGAGUGACUCUAUAGACAUUAGUCUCAUCCUUUUUGGAUGUAUUUAUGACUUUCUCUAUAGUUAAUCCUUCUGUCAAAGGAUUUGCUAAAUUCUCAUCAAUGCAUACAUGAUCCACUAUAACAACUCAUUUAGAAAAUAACUUUCUAACAUUGUUGUGCUUACGACGAAUUUGUCGUCUCUUAUCGUUGUAAUAACGAUUCUCAAUCUUCGCAAUAGUCGCAGUACUAUCACAGUGGAUCAACACAACUGUCAUAGGUUUUUCCCAUAUAGGGAUCUCAACUUGCAAACAUCUCAACCAACUCGCUUCUUCAUAAGUAGUAGCUAGUACUAUCAUUUCAGACUCCAUAGUGGACUGAGCCAAUAUCUUAUGUUCUUCGAGUUCCAAAAUAUAGUGGUUGCUUUGGAAUCAUUUGAUAAGAUAUUCCAAUCAACAUCACUGUAUCCUUCAAGGACUGUAGGAAAUCUUUGAUAAUGUAAUCCGAGAAUCAUUGUCCUUUUUAGGUAUCACAUGAC
rnacentral:lncRNA from 1 species